rnacentral:rRNA from 1 species
CAGUAGCCACGGUAAUACGAAGGGGGCUAGCGUUGUUCGGAAUUACUGGGCGUAAAGCGCACGUAGGCGGAUAUUUAAGUCAGGGGUGAAAUCCCAGAGCUCAACUCUGGAACUGCCUUUGAUACUGGGUAUCUUGAGUAUGGAAGAGGUGAGUGGAAUUCCGAGUGUAGAGGUGAAAUUCGUAGAUAUUCGGAGGAACACCAGUGGCGAAGGCGGCUCACUGGUCCAUUACUGACGCUGAGGUGCGAAAGCGUGGGGAGCAAACAGGAUUAGAUACCCCCGUAGUCCCUGUCUCUUAUAC